AAAGUACUCCCUCCGUCCCAAAAUUCUUGUCUUAGAUUUGUCUUGAUACGGAUGUAUCAAGUCACAUUUUAGUAUUAGAUACAUCCGUAUCUAGACAAAUCUAAGACAAGAAAUUUGGGACAGAGGGAGUAGUUG
rnacentral:pre_miRNA from 1 species